CUACGGGGGGCAGCAGUGGGGAAUACUGGACAAUGGGGGAAACCCUGAUCCAGCAAUGCCGCGUGUGUGAAGAAGGCCUGCGGGUUGUAAAGCACUUUCGGUUGGGAGGACUGCUUCUAGCACUAAUAUUGUUGGAAGUUGACGUUACCUUCAGAAGAAGCACCGGCUAACUCCGUGCCAGCAGCCGCAGGGUAAUACGGAGGGUGCAAGCGUUAAUCGGAAUUACUGGGCGUAAAGCGCGCGUAGGCGGCUAGAUCAGUCGGGUGUGAAAGUCCCGGGCUUAACCUGGGAACUGCAUCCGAUACUGUCUAGCUUGAGUACAGGAGAGGAGAGUGGAAUUCCACAUGUAGCGGUGAAAUGCGUAGAUAUGUGGAGGAACACCAAUGGCGAAGGCAGCUCUCUGGCCUGAUACUGACGCUGAGGUGCGAAAGCGUGGGGAGCAAACAGGAUUAGAUACCCCAGUAGUC
rnacentral:rRNA from 1 species